rnacentral:rRNA from 1 species
GACGAACGCUGGCGGCGUGCUUAACACAUGCAAGUCGAACGAUGAAGCCGGAGCUUGCUCCGGUGGAUUAGUGGCGAACGGGUGAGUAACACGUGAGCAAUCUGCCCUUGACUCUGGGAUAACUGCGGGAAACUGUAGCUAAUACCGGAUACGACACCUUGGGGCAUCCCAGGGUGUGGAAAGAAUUUCGGUCAAGGAUGAGCUCGCGGCCUAUCAGCUAGUUGGUGAGGUAAUGGCUCACCAAGGCGACGACGGGUAGCCGGCCUGAGAGGGUGACCGGCCACACUGGAACUGAGACACGGUCCAGACUCCUACGGGAGGCAGCAGUGGGGAAUAUUGCACAAUGGGCGAAAGCCUGAUGCAGCAACGCCGCGUGAGGGAUGAAGGCCUUCGGGUUGUAAACCUCUUUUAGCAGGGAAGAAGCGAAAGUGACGGUACCUGCAGAAAAAGCAC